rnacentral:ncRNA from 1 species
CCCUGACAGCCGCAUGGUGCGUCUGACAUUUGCCACGACAGGAGAAUCACAUG